rnacentral:rRNA from 1 species
AUUGAACGCUGGCGGCGUGCUUUACACAUGCAAGUCGGACGAGUGGCGAACGGGUGAGUAACGCAUCGGAACGUACCGAGUAAUGGGGGAUAACUGUCCGAAAGGACAGCUAAUACCGCAUAUUAUUCGAGUGGCCGAUAUCUGAUUAGCUGGUUGGCGGGGUAAAGGCCAACCAAGGCGACGAUCAGUAGCGGGUCUGAGAGGAUGAUCCGCAAAGCUGGGACUGAGACACGGCCCAGAGUCCUACGGGAGGCAGCAGUGGGGAGUUUUGGACAAGGAGCGCAAGCCUGAUGCUGACAUGCCGCGUGUAUGAAGAAGGCCUUGGGGUUGUAAAGGACUUGUGUCAGGGAAGCGGUACCUGAAGAAUAAGCACCGGCUAACUACGUGCCAGCAGCCGCGGUAAUAC